UACGAAGGGGGCUAGCGUUGCUCGGAAUCACUGGGCGUAAAGCGCACGUAGGCGGCUUUCUAAGUCAGGGGUGAAAUCCUGGAGCUCAACUCCAGAACUGCCUUUGAUACUGGAGAGCUUGAGUCCGGAAGAGGUGAGUGGAACUCCGAGUGUAGAGGUGAAAUUCGUAGAUAUUCGGAAGAACACCAGUGGCGAAGGCGGCACACUGGUCCGGUACUGACGCUGAUGUGCGAAAGCGUGGGGAGCAAACAGG
rnacentral:rRNA from 1 species